rnacentral:rRNA from 1 species
AGAGUUUGAUCCUGGCUCAGAACGAACGCUGGCGGCGUGGAUAAGACAUGCAAGUCGAACGGGAUUAUUUCUGUAGCAAUACAGAAAUAAUUCAGUGGCGAACGGGUGCGUAACACGUGGGCAAUCUGCCGAAAAGUGGGGGAUAGCUCGCCGAAAGGCGAAUUAAUACCGCAUGUGGUGAGGGACGACAUCUUCCUGAAUCCAAAGCCGGGGCAACCUGGCGCUUUUUGAGGAGCCCGCGGCCUAUCAGCUUGUUGGCGGGGUAACGGCCCACCAAGGCUAUGACGGGUAGCUGGUCUGAGAGGACGACCAGUCACACUGGAACUGAGACACGGUCCAGACACCUACGGGUGGCAGCAGUCGAGAAUUUUUCUCAAUGGGCGAAAGCCUGAAGGAGCGACGCCGCGUGGAGGAUGAAGGCUUUCGGGUUGUAAACUCCUGUCAUUUGAGAACAAGGUGCACCGGUUCACUGCCGGUGCAUUGAUAGUAUCAGAAGAGGAAGGGACGGCUAACUCUGUGCCAGCCGCGGCGGUAAUAC